rnacentral:rRNA from 1 species
AGCGAACGCUGGCGGCGUGCCUAACACAUGCAAGUCGAACGUGAAAGGGAGCAAUCCCAAGUAAAGUGGCGUACGGGUGAGUAACACGUAGGUAAUCUACCCCAGAAUCUGGAAUAACCGGCCGAAAGGCUGGCUAAUACUGGAUAGAGCGACGGAAUCCGUAAUUGGGUUUUUCGGGAAAGGGAGCCUGUAAAAAGGCCUUCGUUCUGGGAUGAGCCUGCGUCCCAUCAGCUAGUUGGUGAGGUAAAAGCUUACCAAGGCAAUGACGGGUAGCUGGUCUGGGAGGACGAUCAGCCAAACUGGAACUGAAACACGGUCCAGACUCCUACGGGAGGCAGCAGUGGGGAAUCUUGCGCAAUGGACGAAAGUCUGACGCAGCAACGCCGCGUGAGUGAAGAAGGCCUUCGGGUUGUAAAGCUCUGUCGAGUGGGACGAAAAUGCUUGGAGUUCACAGCUCCAGGAACUGACGGUACCACUAAAGGAAGCACCGGCUAACUCCGUG